AGAGUUUGAUCAUGGCUCAGGAUGAACGCUAGCGGCAGGCCUAAUACAUGCAAGUCGAACGGUCCGCAAGGAUAGUGGCAAACGGGUGCGUAACGCGUAAGCAACCUGCCCCAUACCGGGGGAUAGCCUGGCGAAAGCCGGGGUAAACCCGCAUAGUCCCUUUCUGUUUCAUGACAGGCUGGGUAAACAUUUAUGGGUAUGGGAGGGGCUUGCGUCUGAUUAGUUAGUUGGCGGGGUAACGGCCCACCAAGACGGUGAUCAGUAGGGGUUCUGAGAGGAUUGGCCCCCACAUGGGUACUGAGAUACGGACCCAACUCCUACGGGAGGCAGCAGUAGGGAAUAUUGGGCAAUGGAGGCAACUCUGACCCAGCCAUGCCGCGUGCAGGAUGAAGGCGCUCAGCGUCGUAAACUGCUUUUAUCUGGGAAGAACUGUGGGCCUGCGGGCUUAUUUGACGGUACCAGAGGAAUAAGCACCGGCUAACUCCGUGCCAGCAGCCGCGGUAAUACGGAGGGUGCAAGCGUUGUCCGGAUUUAUUGGGUUUAAAGGGUGCGCAGGUGGGUAUUUAAGUCUGGUUUGAAAGCAGGUGGCUCAACCAUCUGAUGUGGCUGGAAACUGGAUAUCUUGAAUGGGUUGGCGGUAGCCGGAAUGGGUCAUGUAGCGGUGAAAUGCAUAGAUAUGACCCGGAACACCGAUUGCGAAGGCAGGCUACUACGACUUGAUUGGCACUGAGGCACGAGAGCAUGGGUAGCGAACAGGAUUAGAUACCCUGGUAGUCC
rnacentral:rRNA from 1 species